rnacentral:rRNA from 1 species
CGUGGGUGAUGAAGGUCUUCGGAUUGUAAAACCCUGUCGUCGGGGACGAAGGUAGGCUUGUUAAUAGCGAGUUUGCUUGACGGUACCCGGAGAGGAAGCCCCGGCUAACUCUGUGCCAGCAGCCGCGGUAAUACAGAGGGGGCAAGCGUUAUUCGGAAUUAUUGGGCGUAAAGGGCGCGUAGGCGGUGAUUCAAGUUGGAUGUGUAAUCCCCGAGCUCAACUUGGGAACUGCAUCCAAGACUGGAUCGCUAGAGUACUGGAGAGGGUGGUGGAAUUCCUCGUGUAGCGGUGAAAUGCGUAGAGAUGAGGAGGAACACCAGUGGCGAAGGCGGCCACCUGGACAGUAACUGACGCUGAGGCGCGAAAGUGUGGGGAGCAAACAGGAUUAGAUACCCUGGUAGUCCACACUGUAAACGAUGAACACUUGGUGUGGAGGGAGUUGACCCCUUCCGUGCCGUAGCUAACGCGAUAAGUGUUCCGCCUGGGGAGUACCNGUCGCAAGGCUU